rnacentral:rRNA from 1 species
AUUGAACGCUGGCGGCAGGCCUAACACAUGCAAGUCGAGCGGAUGAAGGGAGCUUGCUCCUGGAUUCAGCGGCGGACGGGUGAGUAAUGCCUAGGAAUCUGCCUGGUAGUGGGGGAUAACGUCCUGAAACGGGCGCUAAUACCGCAUACGUCCUGAGGGAGAAAGUGGGGGAUCUUCGGACCUCACGCUAUCAGAUGAUCCUAGGUCGGAUUAGCUAGUUGGUGGGGUAAAGGCCUACCAAGGCGACGAUCCGUAACUGGUCUGAGAGGAUGAUCAGUCACACUGGAACUGAGACACGGUCCAGACUCCUACGGGAGGCAGCAGUGGGGAAUAUUGGACAAUGGGCGAAAGCCUGAUACAGCAAUGCCGCGUGUGUGAAGAAGGUCUUCGGAUUGUAAAGCACUUUAAGUUGGGAGGAAGGGAAGUAAGUUAAUACCUUGCUGAUUUGACGUUACCAACAGAAUAAGCACCGGCUAACUUCGUG